GUGGGGAAUCUUGCGCAAUGGGCGAAAGCCUGACGCAGCCAUGCCGCGUGAAUGAUGAAGGUCUUAGGAUUGUAAAAUUCUUUCACCGGGGACGAUAAUGACGGUACCCGGAGAAGAAGCCCCGGCUAACUUCGUGCCAGCAGCCGCGGUAAUACGAAGGGGGCUAGCGUUGCUCGGAAUUACUGGGCGUAAAGGGCGCGUAGGCGGACAGUUUAGUCAGAGGUGAAAGCCCAGGUCUCAACCUUGGAAUUGCCUUUGAUACUGGCUAUCUUGAGUAUGGAAGAGGUAUGUGGAACUCCGAGUGUAGAGGUGAAAUUCGUAGAUAUUCGGAAGAACACCAGUGGCGAAGGCGACAUACUGGUCCAUUACUGACGCUGAGGCUCGAAAGCGUGGGGAGCAAACAGGAUUAGAUACCCGGGUAGUCC
rnacentral:rRNA from 1 species